AUGCCCCGCGCGCGCGUAACCCGGUGCCGCGUCGUCCGUUAACCGUCUUGCCCGCGAACCUGAACGUUUAGACUGACGAAUCGUAUUGUUUAACUAUUAUGACGUUGUAAUUAAUUUUUUUUUUUUUUCCUCCCCUCCUCUCGCUCUCCGCGCGCCCCUCCACGCACCCCUUUGACCAGUAUUAAUUGCGACCGCGCGAUAACAAUAACGGUAAUGAUAUUACGUACGUCGCGCGACCGACAACGAGCCGUGGUUUG